CUCAAAAUACAAAAAUAAAAAAGAAUUAAAUAAUCAAAUCAGUGGAACCCAUAAAAAAAAGUAAGCAAAUUUACAAAGUAUAGGGUCCAAAAAGCAAAACAUAGGGACACAAACAGGCAAAUAAAUUAGGAGUGGCAAGAGUAGGGUUAGGUUGGGGGAGAAUUACUGAUUGAAGCAGAAGAGAUGGAACUUGAGAAGAGCCGGAGGGGGAGACUGAGACCUGCUGGAAGUUGUGGGCAUGAGGUGUUUGGCAAGAAAAUGGAUCUUUUCCUUAUGAUGAUUUCUUACCAAUACCUCUCAUGCCAAUGAUUUCCAGCAGUUCCUCCCUUUCCCUUCUUUCUCCACUUUGUCAUCAGAUGCCACCUCUUCGCUUUUCAUGGAGUUUUACAAGAGCCGACUCGAGCUGGCCGGUCAAUUCGGUUUCGGGACUUGAUCCGAGCUGAUUCGGGACUAGAACUAGCAGGUCCUCCUUCCUUUCUCUUAUCCAGCUUCCCCUUCAGCUCUUCAUGUUCUCUCCUCUCUUGUUUUGUCGCUUUCUUUUCCUCCGUGGAUGACGUUUUCCUUGUGACAAGAAUGAACAACGCAUGAGCAUGUCUUACAAUCCAGAACAAGUUAGAGAUGUAGUUCUUUUCUUACAAAUAAAAACCAGAUUUUGUUGGCAACCGAAGUGUUCAGUGCUUCCAUCAAGAAAGGUUGCGUUUCUUGCUUUUGCCAGCUAUGAGUAAUUGAUUGUUGAUGCU